AGGCCUUAUACAUGCAAGUCGAACGGUAACAUUGGUGCUUGACCAGAUGACGAGUGGCGCACGGGUGCGUAACGCGUAUGCAACCUACCUUUUACUAGAGUAUAGCCCAGAGAAAUUUGGAUUAAUCCUCUAUAACAUCUUUAAUUUCAUGAUUAUUAGAUUAAAGUUUUAACGGUAAAAGAUGGGCAUGCGUCCUAUUAGUUUGUAGGUGAGGUAACGGC
rnacentral:rRNA from 1 species